rnacentral:tRNA from 1 species
CGGGAUGUAGCGCAGUCUGGUAGCGCACCUGCUUCGGGAGCAGGGGGCCGCUGGUUCAAAUCCAGUCAUCCCGA